rnacentral:rRNA from 1 species
AGAGUUUGAUCAUGGCUCAGGACGAACGCUGGCGGCGUGCCUAACACAUGCAAGUCAAGGACGGUAGCAAUACUGGACUGGCGCACGGGUGCGGAACACGUAGGUAAUCUACCCUCGGGGGGAGAACAACCAGCCGAAAGGUUGGCUAAAUCUCCGUAACAUCAGAGAUCGGCAUCGGUUUCUAAUCAAGUUUUCCCGGGGAUGAGCCUGCGUCCGAUUAGCUAGUUGGUAGUGUAACGGACUACCAAGGCUUCGAUCGGUAGCUGGUCUGAGAGGAUGAUCAGCCACAUUGGGACUGAGACACGGCCCAGACUCCUACGGGAGGCAGCAGUGAGGAAUAUUGCUCAAUGGACGAAAGUCUGAAGCAGCAACGCCGCGUGAGGGAUGAAGGUGCUCUGCAUCGUAAACCUCUGUAGAUGGGGACAAACGUCGAGUUAUCACUCGAUUGAUGGUACCCGUAAAGUAAGGAUCGGCUAACUACGUGCCAGCAGCCGCGGUAAUACGUAGGAUCCAAGCGUUGUCCGGAUUUACUGGGUGUAAAGGGUGCGCAGGCGGACUGGAAAGUCAGUAGUGAAAUCUCGGCGCUCAACGCCGAAACGUCUUUUGAUACUUCCAGUCUUGAAUCAGGGAGAGACUCGUGGAAUUCCGAGUGUAGCAGUGAAAUGUGUAGAUAUUCGGAAGAACACCAGCGGCGAAGGCAGCGAGUUGGCCCUCGAUUGACGCUCAGGCACGAAAGCAUGGGGAUCAAACAGGAUUAGAUACCCUAGUAGUCC